GCAGCUGGAAGAGAUGGCAUUUCAAAUGCAAACAAUUUUCCAGGCCCUGGGAAAGUUAUGAAAAUUGGGAAGUACAGCUGGGCAGAGACUGAUGUACAAGGAGCCUUCCGUACUCCCAUCAGAAAUCAAGGUCAAACAACUGUUUAUGGCGAUUUCACCUUUCAACUACUGUUCAGCAGUAAUUCAAUCAGGUAUGAGUGAGAUCAGUUUGUCUUCACCAAAUCACUUUUAGGUGCCAAGUUACCCACUGAGACAGCAGAGUUAAGACUGACAUAUUGGACGGGGCUCUUGAAGUUUUCCAACAGAAGUCAAUUUUUUUGUUUGUUUGCUUCGAAAGCAGAAGCGGAUGUGUUUUGCAAACAUUUGACUCAUUCCUCACACGAACCUCAGUAUUGAUGUCCUCACUCCACAUAAUGUGCAGCCAUGAGGAGAUGAGAGGUAAGAAGUGUUCAUGUCUACUAGUUAAAUAGAUAACCAGACAUUAUAAACUGAGAGGCCAUUUCUACCUCCACCGGCUGGCUGGGCAAGUCACCUGACCUCACAGAGACGGCUUUAUCCAACUUUAAAAUGAGGAUAAUGGGAUUCCUCUACCCACACAGGGAUGUUGGGUAGCUUAGUUAUUUGAUGUUUGCAAUAUGCUGGGAGAUAAAAGGCAGUAUGGAAAUAUAAAAUAUAUUAAAGAAGAACAAAGUGAGACGUUAAAAGUGAUGGCCAAUGCAAUAGAAUGAAGA